rnacentral:rRNA from 1 species
CCUACGGGAGGCUGCAGUGGGGAAUAUUGCACAAUGGGCGCAAGCCUGAUGCAGCCAUGCCGCGUGUGUGAAGAAGGCCUUCGGGUUGUAAAGCACUUUCAGCGGGGAGGAAGGCGUUAAGGUUAAUAACCUUGGCGAUUGACGUUACCCGCAGAAGAAGCACUGGCUAACUCCGUGCCAGCAGCCGCGGUAAUACGGAGGGUGCUAGCGUUAAUCGGAAUUACUGGGCGUAAAGCGCACGCAGGCGGUCUGUCAAGUCGGAUGUGAAAUCCCCGGGCUCAACCUGGGAACUGCAUUCGAAACUGGCAGGCUAGAGUCUUGUAGAGGGGGGUAGAAUUCCAGGUGUAGCGGUGAAAUGCGUAGAGAUCUGGAGGAAUACCGGUGGCGAAGGCGGCCCCCUGGACAAAGACUGACGCUCAGGUGCGAAAGCGUGGGGAGCAAACAGGAUUAGAUACCCUGGUAGUC